GACGAACGCUGGCGGCGUGCUUAACACAUGCAAGUCGAACGGAAAGGCCCUGCUUGCAGGGUACUCGAGUGGCGAACGGGUGAGUCACACGUGGGUGAUCUGCCCUGCACUUCGGGAUAAGCCUUGGAAACGGGGUCUACUACCGGGUAGGAGCCAUUUUUAGUUUGAUGGUUGGAGAGUUUUUUCGGUGUAGGAUGAGGUGACGGCCUAGCAGCUUUUUGGUGGGGUAAUGGCCUACCAAGGCGGCGGCGGGUAGCAGGCCUGGGUGGGUGGACGUGCACAUUGGGACUGGGACACGGACACGGCCCCGACGGGUGGGAGAAGCAGGGAAGAGUGAACAAUCGGAGCGAGCCUGAUGCAGCCACGCCCCGGGGGGGAUGACGGUCAACGGGUUGUAAAUGCCUUUCGCUAGCGACGAAGCUGUUUGUGACGGUACCUGGAUAAGAAGCCCCGGCUAACUACGUG
rnacentral:rRNA from 1 species